rfam:Talaromyces marneffei PM1 scf013, whole genome shotgun sequence.
UCCGAUAUGGUGUAACGGUAACAUCGCCCUCUUUCACAGGGCAGCUCGGGGUUCGAUUCCCCGUGUCGGAG